UGGUGGGUAGUUUGACUGGGGCGGUCUCCUCCUAAAGAGUAACGGAGGAGCACGAAGGUUGGCUAAUCCUGGUCGGACAUCAGGAGGUUAGUGCAAUGGCAUAAGCCAGCUUGACUGCGAGCGUGACGGCGCGAGCAGGUGCGAAAGCAGGUCAUAGUGAUCCGGUGGUUCUGAAUGGAAGGGCCAUCGCUCAACGGAUAAAAGGUACUCCGGGGAUAACAGGCUGAUACCGCCCAAGAGUUCAUAUCGACGGCGGUGUUUGGCACCUCGAUGUCGGCUCAUCACAUCCUGGGGCUGAAGUAGGUCCCAAGGGUAUGGCUGUUCGCCAUUUAAAGUGGUACGCGAGCUGGGUUUAGAACGUCGUGAGACAGUUCGGUCCCUAUCUGCCGUGGGCGCUGGAGAACUGAGGGGGGCUGCUCCUAGUACGAGAGGACCGGAGUGGACGCAUCACUGGUGUUCGGGUUGUCAUGCCAAUGGCACUGCCCGGUAGCUAAAUGCGGAAGAGAUAAGUGCUGAAAGCAUCUAAGCACGAAACUUGCCCCGAGAUGAGUUCUCCCUGACUCCUUGAGAGUCCUGAAGGAACGUUGAAGACGACGACGUUGAUAGGCCGGGU
rnacentral:rRNA from 1 species